UGAUGACUUCCUGUCUAGCGCCAUAUUUAGUACUGGCACAAUAUUCCCUUCCAAGACGCUGCUUCCUGUCGGUGGCCAUCUUUACAUUAACCUGUUGCAAGCGGCGCCGGAUGUUGUGGCCAGAGCAGGGUUGCCAGGAUUUCAAUUGUUCUGAAGUUUGAUUCCUGCCUAUUGUCCAAUGAAGAGGCUCAGCAGACAAGGCUCUAUUUACAUCACAGUAGGAGGGAGGGGUAAUGACAUCACUCCAACUUGCAGCGCAGCAGUAAAGUGCGACUGAGGUUUAUCAGAGCACCGGUCACAUGACUUGAGGACACCUGGGAAAUGUCAAAAUGUCUAGCCCCACAGCAAAUUUCAAAAUUAGACUUAAAAAAAAAAAUCCAUUUGUUCUUUUGAAAACCAGAUUUCAGUGCAGGAUUGACUGUGAACUGAUGUGUUUUGUAAACGCCAUGUUUUUCCACGACACUAUCCCUUUAAGACUACACUACCCAGCAUGCAAUGGGACUGACAUAGGAGUGGGGCGUUAGCAGAUUUUGGCCUCUGUACCCCAAUCUCACUCUUAAACAUUCUCACAUUUUCCACUGACUUUCCUUAAUUUCAGACACUUUUAUCUACUGACCACCAAUAUAUCUAGAGGUUGAGCUGUUUUACCAAGAUUUAAUGAAAUUGUAUCUGUAUUGGGGACCCCUAUACCUCCUGGGCCCCCUCCCCCCGGUGACGGCCGAAUCUCUCCCAUUUUACUUCAUGCAAAUAUUUGGGCAAAAGGUGUAUUUUCACAUAUAUUUAUUUUUUAGACUUUUCUCUCUCCUCAUAUAGUGCUAGUUUUGGGCUACUUAUGGGCUGGUUUUGUAGUCGACUUUGGCUGCUUUGCAAAAUUACACCUGGGAACCCUGGCCCAGAGGAAGCAGUUCCACAGCCCCUUUAACCCUGUCAGUCCCACAGUUCCCUGCACUGGUGGAUACAUUUAGUGCUGCUAAUCCCAGCCGCUGGAAAUAAAAGAGUUAAUAAGUG